rnacentral:rRNA from 1 species
UUCGGUGCCCGAGUAGAGUGGCGCACGGGUGAGUAACACGUAGACAACCUGCCUUCGGGUUCGGGAUAACCUUUUGAAAGAAGGGCUAAUACCGGAUGAGACUCUCGCUUCGCAUGGGGCGGGGUUAAAAGGGGUUUCCUGCCAGAAGAGGGGUCUGCGGGACAUUAGCUUGUUGGUGGGGUAACGGCCCACCAAGGCGAUGAUGUCUAGCGGGUCUGAGAGGAUGAUCCGCCACACUGGAACUGAGAGACGGUCCAGACUCCUACGGGAGGCAGCAGUGGGGAAUUUUGCGCAAUGGGCGAAAGCCUGACGCAGCAACGCCGCGUGGGUGAAGAAGGCCUUUGGGUCGUAAAGCCCUUUUCUGGGGAAAGAGCAAAGACGGUACCCCAGGAACAAGCACCGGCUAACUCCGUGCCAGCAGCCGCGGUAAUACGGAGGGUGCAAGCGUUGUUCGGAAUUACUGGGCGUAAAGGGCGUGUAGGCGGAUGGGCAAGCUGGGGGUGAAAGGCCAGGGCUCAACCCGGGACUAUCUCCCAGAACUGCGUAUCUAGAGAGAGUCAGAAGCAGGUGGAAUUCCUGGUGUAGAGGUGAAAUUCGUAGAGAUCAGGAGGAACACCGGCGGCGAACGCGACCUGCU